UACGAAGGGGGCUAGCGUUGCUCGGAUUUACUGGGCGUAAAGGGCGCGUAGGCGGCCAGCACAAGUCAGUUGUGAAAUCUCCGAGCUUAACUCGGAACGGUCAACUGAUACUGCGCGGCUAGAGUGCGGAAGGGGCAACUGGAAUUCUCGGUGUAGCGGUGAAAUGCGUAGAUAUCGAGAGGAACACCUGCGGCGAAGGCGGGUUGCUGGGCCGACACUGACGCUGAUGCGCGAAAGCCAGGGGAGCGAACGGG
rnacentral:rRNA from 1 species